rnacentral:lncRNA from 10 species
GCAGGCGGCAGGAGGGCAGGGUGGAGGAGGUUGCAGGAGGCUGCCGGGAUAAAGACAGCAGGCCUGGGAGCCGGCCGCCCUGGGCUGGAGGGUCAACCUGACCUCUUGCUGGCCCAGUGACUUCGGGAAAACGGCAAUGCGUGUCUGGGCUCCCCUUUCCCUAACAGUAAAACGGGGACAUAGACCCUACUCCACAGGGCAGUAGUAAGCUCACGAAGCGAAUCAAGGAAGGUGAAGAAGGUGCUACUUAAAGUGCCAGGACCCUGACCCAGGGCAAGCGCUGAGAAAUGGGUAGAGCAUUCCUACUGGCUUCCCUGGAACUACGGCUGAAUAAAGGCAGAUCCACUUCUCCUGCCAAGCACCUCAAGAAACUGAGGCCUCGCGUCUGCCCAGGAGGUGCCUGAGGACCCUGGAUAGGACCCUGGAUAGGCGCUGCGUUUGGCCCACCUCUUCCACCACCAAUCUUUUGCAGCCACAUUUUGAAACCUUAAAGGACCAGCUUCCGGGAGAGAAGGGAAAACAAGUAGGCACACGGGGCUUCCCUCCAAACACCUGGCCUGGGGUUUGGCUAAUGACGUGGGAAUUAUGUGAGGACUUAAAAUAUCUGUGCUUUCCUCGGCUGUUACCGAUCUGCAAAGGGUGGACGGGCUCAGACCCCAGAGGCCGACUUCCGGUUUCAACAACUUCCUCUCGGUUCAACAAGAAUUAAGGUGGCCACCGAACACGGUGGAGAGCU